CUCACCGGGCGAGCUGGCUCGUGUCAUGGUCGAGCUUGCCGGGCGAUCCGUUUCGGCUAUUCGUCUGCUCGGCUUUUGAAGUUUUGAACGAGAUUCGGUUUUUCUGAGGACUUUUGGACAUUAAUUCCGUCGUGACCGAUUUUGACCCCAACAGUUAGCCCCCAGCCAGCUAGGAUCAGUAGACCUGGGUGUUAGGUCCUACCU
rnacentral:lncRNA from 1 species